UUAAUUUCAGUACGCAAUGUAUUCUACCCUCAAAAGCAAUAUGAUUUCAGUGAGGUGAGUUCUUUCAAAUCUCAAUCAGAUGUGUAGCAUGAAAUAUAAGGCUUUUAAUAAUUUAGUCAUCCUUACUGGAGGCUACAAUUAACAUGCAUCAUAGGUCAUACACAUUACUUUGUCUUCAGGUACUGCACUUACGGGAGGAGAUGGCUACAUCUUCACAAUAAUUUACACUACCAUAGUACACUGCUAAACAGUACUGUAACAUGGAUUUGUAUUAGGCUAUGAAGUCAUUUAAAGCAUAACUUUACUUUUCAGGGGGACAUGCUCUCUAUAAGGAGGUGGUGGUUGGACAGCUGUUGGAGACCUUUAUACUUAAAAGGUUUAUAUACUGUGUCCAUGUUGCUAUUUACUUAUUUUUGGUGCUCACGAAGAUCGUAGCCAAUACACUUGUCUCUCUGUCUCUAGCCCUGCAGAACUAGCUGGCUCCUUCUCACCCUCUCCAUCUCCCCAUCUCAGUCACACCUUCCAAUCACUAAGCAGUGAAAGCCCUGCAGGACUAGCUGGCACACCAAGCUCACCCUCUGCAUCUCCCCAUCUCAGCCACACGCUCCAAUCUGGCACAACAGAGGACAGGCCAUUCUUACCACCCGAAGUCCUUCAGCAAAUUGUACAAGAGACGCUGAGACUGGACAUGGCGAUGCUUGGCGUGUUCAACAGGGUUUCAAACACAUUCCGAGAACUAAUCAAGCCUCUCCAUCCUUCCAUAUAUAUAAAUGACAGUUUGGCAGGGGACAUUAAGCUUAAUAAAGACAAUCUCAUAUACAUAACGGUUAGAAAGAUUUACAACAAUGCAGGCUGUGGCAGUGGCCUUGCGCUACGCCUCAAA